GACGAACGCUGGCGGCGUGCUUAACACAUGCAAGUCGAACGGAAAGGCCCCAGCUUGCUGGGGUCCUCGAGUGGCGAACGGGUGAGUAACACGUGGGUGAUCUGCCCUGCACUCUGGGAUAAGCCUGGGAAACUGGGUCUAAUACCGGAUAGGACCGUGCUUUAGUGUGUGCGGUGGAAAGUUUUUCGGUGCAGGAUGAGCCCGCGGCCUAUCAGCUUGUUGGUGGGGUAAUGGCCUACCAAGGCGGCGACGGGUAGCCGGCCUGAGAGGGUGUACGGCCACAUUGGGACUGAGACACGGCCCAGACUCCUACGGGAGGCAGCAGUGGGGAAUAUUGCACAAUGGGCGCAAGCCUGAUGCAGCGACGCCGCGUGGGGGAUGACGGCCUUCGGGUUGUAAACCCCUUUCGGCAGGGACGAAGCUUUUGUGACGGUACCUGCAUAAGAAGCACCGGCUAACUACGUG
rnacentral:rRNA from 1 species